CUGAAGGGUUGGAGCUAGGAUCUACCUUUUCCCAUACCUCAUUUAAGGAUUGGUAGGGGAAGAUAAGUGUAUCUUGCUGGAGAUGUCUGCUUACCUGAGGCUGUCUAAGGUGUUGUUGUAUUGAUAUGUCACAGAGAAGACCCUUUGAAGAAGGAUAAUUUCUGUCAGUGAACACAUUCUGAUUACCAGUGGACACUGCUGAUUAUAAAAACAGGAGUCUGAAGGUCAAAGAGAAGAAAUGAAGAGAAAAAGAAGAUGAGAAGAAAUGAAGGUUUGCUCAUCUAUGUAUGGUCAUCUUAAAGAACUUUCAUAGCAAUUUUUCUACCUUUAUGUCAAAGUGGAUCUGUUGUUCUCAUAAGAGAUAUCAGUAUUGCCAUUACAACUGAUCAAGAAUUUUCAUGUCUGUUUCAUGACUGAAAAACA